rnacentral:lncRNA from 1 species
UGCCAUGGCCCAUGGCGCGGAUAACUAACUUUCCGGAGCUUUUAAGUUUGGGCUUUGGCAACACAGCACGAUCCAAACAAGAAUGGCGGCCGCCAUCAACCACGACCACGCGAGAGCUAAGGUUAUUUUGAAAACAAGCCACCGGGGUAGUAAAAAAAAAAGAAAAUCUGCUGCAGUGAUUUCCAAAUGCUGUCCCAAAAGUCCAGGAAGAAUAUUGCACGAGUGUUUGGAUAGACCAGAAAGAGUGGACCUUUUCAACGAAUAAGUUAAGAACCAUUCACUUUCUCUUUAGACAGAUUCUGAGCAAUGUUAUUUACCACUUUUUUUAUCUAUUCCUUGCAAAUGCCAUUUUUCGUAAUCAGACUCAGCAUAGGUUUGUCCUAGUCUAGAUUCCUGUUUGCGUGCUAACUUUUCUGACUGUUGACAAGUUGUCUUUAGUCUAUUUUAGUUUUCUCGGUAUUGCCUUACUUAAUUCUACAAUUAUCAUGGUGUUGCUUACAUUAAUUUUUAAUUUAAAAUAUAGGUUAAAAGAAAAUUUAGUUGAAUAAGAUUUAGAUUUCAUUUCAUUUUGUUUUUCUGUAAUGGAAACAUCAGAAGAAUUUUUUUCGCCAACUUGUAAAUGUUAAGAUUUUUUAAACAUUCCUAUUUAUGUGAACAAGCGUGCAGACACUCACUUGGUCUUUUUUUCUAUUACAACCAUUUUGUUUAGCACUAAUUUAUUUUUCAAGGGGGUGGGAAUUACAGUUUGAUUGUUAUUGUUUAUAAUUUAUCUCUCUUCCUCCAAAUUAGUUGUUGGAUUUUUUAAUAUCCUGUUGGGUGUCUGUAAGCCGAACUAGCAUAUUAGGACUUGCAGUUCCUCAAGCUCACACCUAUAAACGGUGGCGUUGGCUGUAGAGGAGAGGAGCUGAUUGUGGGCCGGUAGACCGUUGUUUACGGAGCUGGCUCAGCAAUCAGCCCUCCUGCACAUGUUGCACUUCAAGCGUCCACACCUAUAAACGGUGGCGUUGGCUCUUGAGGCAGUGUGUGACCGGGUGGGGAUCCGUUAAGGUCCCUCCACCGUGGACUCCUGCCGUGUGUGACUGGGCAGUCUGUCAGGUUCCUGGGUCCUAGGAGGCUUUCGGUAUCCUAAACGAGUUUAUUUUAAACUAACAACUAGUUUGAAGGGAAGGGGAUAAAGAAUUUGAAUAACUUCUGAACUGUAGUUUUCUCUUCUUUUAAAAUAUUUUAAUGUAAAACAAUAUGGAUGUGAUUGAAAACAAAAAUCAAGGGGGUGUUCGCGGCUUUGAUCAUUUUUUUUUUCAAAAUUAUUUUCUAAAGUUUGACUUACUAUAAGAUUCGGGUUUUUUUUGUCACUUGGAUAAAUUGUUGCUAAAAAAAUCCGGCACAUGAAUAUUGAUUGAAUACCAACCAGCACUACUCCUUCAUGAGGGACGAGAGGCUGUUGAACCCACAUUUAAUCGUUUCAGAAUGAAUUUAUCGUUUAAAUCGUUUUUUUCUUUACAUUUUUUUCCAACAGAACUGGUGCUAGAAGCCCUCCGCAACAUCGCCAAUAUCGCAUUCAUACAUCAGCGUUGGUGUCAUACCUUCGACUUAACAUUCGCAUACCUGUAGAGUUUGGAAGUUUAACUCCAUUCGGUCAUCCAGUCAAGGUCCAGGGCUCCAGGCCGUGAAUGUCCGCACUCAAAAUGGGUUUACUUUGUUGGCGUCAUCCAGACGAGUCAUCAUCACCCUAAGGGGAGGGAAGGAAACCAUUUGUGGUGGAUGGCAACUGAGCCGAGGCAACAAGAGAGGCCAUCAAACCAGACAGCGUCAAAAUACGCUGGAAUCCAAAAGAGUUCGACUUCAAUUAAAUUAAUUACCAAUAUUGAAAAACCUUGCCUUAAAAAUCGAGAUUAAUUUCGUCUACCGAACUACUUGCUAACUAGACGAUCGUCGAUUGUGCGGAAAUUCAGGAGUCAGUCCCGUCUUUUAUAGUGUCCAGAUUAGGUGGCGAACAAUCGCCCUAUCAGGGUGUGACAAACCGGCGGGAUCGUGAUGCCCCCACAAUCACUCCCUGUUUCCAUAAACGAUCAAGGUAUGCAAAUAUUUAACGAAUCAAGGACGAAAUAUCACGCAAAGG